rnacentral:tRNA from 1 species
UAGCUCAGUCGGUAGAGCAUGAGACUCUGAAUCUCAGGGUCGUGGGUUCAUGCCCCAC